rnacentral:tRNA from 1 species
UCGGCAUCCAGUCGGCGGGCGGCGCCGGCAUGGCGCUGGCGCAGUGGAUGGACAGCGGCGAGAAGCCGUUCGACCUCGGCGAUGUCGAC